ACAGUCAUUAGCAGGUCCAUGCUCCAGGCUGUCAGAACUGUCACCCUGUGUAAGAAGAGGGACAUGGUACAGGCAGGGCUCUCCUAAUAUCGGGAAAAUGGCUGUCUGUGAAACCUUGCUGCAAGACUUGACCUUAGGGCCCCUUCAGGCCUUCUCUGUAGUCAGUCCUGCUGGAGUAGGAGGCAUUUUGAGACUUUGAGGUGUUCACUGGAAACUGCUCUUCUGACUUUAUUCCUGGAAGAGUUGUGCAAGAAUAAGACCCACGGAGAUAGAACUAUAGUUUGGUGAAGUAGCGGGACACUAUCCACCCCUCAACAGAUUGUAUCUUCACCCCUAUCUGACCUCAUUGCUGCUCUCACUCUCUGUCCCAGAAUAAAAUUCCAAGAUGUUGGAGGAGUGCCCCCUCACAAUGUGAAGCCCUCGCUCAACGGGGAACCAAAUUCGAGUGCUUGACGUUUCUUCAGGCUGGUUCAUGUCUGCCCACUGGUAGAGUCAUGGAACUAUCCCGGGAAUCCCACAGACAAGACAGUUGAGUCCACGGCCAACACACCACAUCUUUACAGAGGUCUCCUUCACCAAACCACAGGGACUUGUCGCCAGGCAAUGGUGACAUUCAUUGUGAUGCUACUCAGAUCUCACAAUCUGGCCUGGCCCACUGAGACUAGUGCAUGCACAUUGCUGAGGUAGGCUCAGGCUCCCAGCUAUCAGAGUUGUCAACCUGCCUAAACAGAGAAAAAUGCUACAGGCAGAGCCAGCCUGACUCCAUUCCUGAAAAAGAAUGUGGGUGUGCAAGAAUCAAUUCCAUGGGGAUGGAAAUAUAAUCUGGUGUGUUGUUGAAGUUUAUUUGGGUAAUAGAAUUAUACCUGAGACCCUAAAGGAUGAUGUCAGUGAAAGAUAGUCAUGCUCUUGCCAUCACUGCCUCCUUUCAUCCUGAACCAUGCAGGAUCUCUCUGGGAAAGACAGGAAUCACGACAAAGGCAAGUCCAAGGUGGAGCAGUAUUCUCACACCUCAGACUUGCUUUUCACGGUUCAAAUGAGUGUGAGAGAAUGUCUCAGAGGCCAUCUGUGGUGAGAGGAAGCCUGAAAAUGGUACUCAGUAGUGCUGUUGAGGGGCACUGUGGAUUUUGCAUGAAAGCAAAGAGAAAUCAGUACUCACCUGAGAGAAUGAGCUGCCUUGUGCUGAAGUCCAAGCAGUGUUCAAUGAUACCUGUAAGAGGACCCAAAAUCUUCCUGCAAAAUGCAAACAGCCUCAGCCCCCAGAAUGACACUAUGACCCACAACUUGAAACCCAGCCAGCCUACCUGAAAUCCAGUUUGCUCUCUGAAAUACCUGGCAGCUAAAUAAUCUUUGGGGAGAAGAAGUCCUAUUCAGCAACAGCCUAAUGAAAGAGCCCCUCCACAAUGAGAAGGCUGAGCAGAUGAAAUGAAACAGAGGCUAGAUUACCAGCAAAAGCCAGGCAUGGCUGCCUGCUUCUCAUCCUUCAUGAGUCAAGCAGUCCUUGAUAGAGAUGAAGUUGCAGGACCCCUUCCACCCCUCACCAAAUUGUACCAUUACACCUAUCUGAUCUUAUUGCUGCUCAUACUCUAUGUCCCAUGAUGAAAUCCCAAAAUGUUGGGGGAGAGCCCAGUCACAACAUGAAACACCUUCUCAGUUUGGAACCAAAUUCGAG